CAGUAAGGUUGGUAGUACAAUAGCUUUGUAAACAAGCAUUUUGCUUUCCCUGCAAAUGUCCUGGUCCUCAAGCACUCUGCACUUCAAUAGGGAGAAAGCUGCAUUCACAGAGUUCAGGUGAUGCUGGAUUUCGGCAUCAAUGUUGGCCCUUGUGGAAAGAUAACUACGCAGGGCGGAGAAGUGAUUAACACUUUCCAACAUGACACCGUUGAGUUGGAUUUGUGGCACUGCAGAGUUGUUGUUUUGUGCUUGUUGGUGCAGCACUUUGGUUUUUUUGGAUGUUGAGUGAUAGGCUAAGCUUUUCAUAAGCUUCUAUGAAGGUAUUUAAGAUGGUUUGGAGGUCAUCCUCUGAGUGUGCACACAUUACGUUGUCAUCAGUAUACUGAAGCUCUAUAACAGAACUUACAGUAACUUUACUUUUUGCUUUCAGCCUACUCAGAUUGAAGAGCUUUCCAUCUGUUCGAUACAUGAUUUCUACUCCAGUGGGCAGUUUCCCUUUGCCAAAGUGUAGGAUCAUGGCAAUGAAAAUAAUAAACAGAGUUGGGGUUGUUUAACACCUGAUCCCAUUGUGAAUGAUUCACUUUGAGAGCCAUUGUUAUCUGCUGGUUGUUGCUGUCAUAUUAUCAUGGAGGAGCUGAAUGAUGUUUAUACAUUUAUCUGGGCAGCCAAUUUUCAGAAGGACAGUCCACAGAGCAUUACAAUUUACAGUGCCGAAGGCCUUAGGUCAAUAAACACCAUAUACAGGGGUUGGCUUUGCUCUCUGCAUUUUUCUUGAAGUUGUUGAGCGGUGAAAAUCAUGUCCACUGUCCCCAUAGAAGUCCUAAAACCAUUUUGGGAUUCAGGAAGGGUAGCCUCGGAUAUUGUUAGGUUUGCUAAGAUCCUUGCAAUAAUUUUGCUGGCUGCAGCAAAUAAAGAGAUGCCUUGAUAGUUUCUGCAAUCCGUUCUAUCACCUUUUUUAAAGAAACUGAUAAUUUUGGCAUCCCUAAAAUCUGCUGGAAUCUCCUCUCCCAGAUUUUUUCGAUGAGCUUGUGAAGUUGUGUAAGUUCAAUUCUUCCCACUUUGAAGACUCAUCAGGUAUCUCAUCAGGUCCUCUGGCUUUGUUGUUUUCUCAUUUGGUUAAUAGCUGUGCACAACUCUCCCAGAUUUGGAGAUACUAAGCUGAUCUCUAAUUUGUUUUUGUGGAAUUUGUAACCUCAGCAACUAUGGGGGAGCUGCAGUUAAGGAGAUGCUGGUAAUGUUCUUUCCAGUGCUUCUUUGUCUUUUAGAAGUGUGGUACCAUCUGUUGAGCGUAGGGGGCGUAUGCCAUUAUUUAUUGGCCCAUAGAUGGUCUUUGUGGCAAAGCCUACUCCGUGUAUUUAACAUUCUUGUUCUGGUAGGCCUUUCCAGAAGAAUGUGUAGCCUCCUUUUUGUUCCUUCAGUUGUCACUCUCCUGCUCUUGAAACUCAUUCUUGAAGCACUGCCAUAAUAAUGUUAAAACGUCGCAACUCUCUUGCUUUUUUUUAAUGGGGAUAUUUGAGGUUCUACUUUGGCCAGCAGGGGGUACCAGAGCCUCGAGAACAAAAUCUAGUUCCCUUCCCUUCCAGCUGUGGAGUAAGGUGGGAUUCUGACUGCUAGGGUAAGGAAACUGGUGUGGUUUGAGUCUUACCAAACACAGUCAUUUGCUCAGGUGCAAGUCCAGGGAAGGUGGAGGGUGUGUGUGGAAAAAGCAAAGGAAGAGUAGUGCCUAUUGAAACCACUGUGGAGCCAGCCUGGGCACAACUGUGCAUUAGGUAGUUCCUUCUUUAGUUUAUGUGGGACAUGGGUGGCGCUGUGGGUUAAACCACAGAGCCUAGGACUUGCCAGUCAGAAGGUCAGCGGUUUGAAUCCCCGCGACGGGGUGAGCUCCCGUUGCUCGGUCCCUGUUCCUGCCAGGGAACCUAGCAGUUUGAAAGCACGUCAAAGUGCAAGUAGAUAAAUAGGUACCGCUUCGGCGGGAAGGGAAACGGCGUUUCCGUGCGCUGCUCUGGUUUGCCAGAAGCGGCUUAGUCAUGCUGGCCACAUGACCCAGAAGCUGUACGCCAGCUCCCUCGGCCAAUAAAGCGAGACGAGCGCCACAACCCCAGAGUUGUCCGUGACUGGACCUAAUGGUCAGGGGUCCCUUUACCUUUACCUUUUCUUUAGUUUAUACCCCUCUGGGGGGAACAGUCUCUUAAGUGCCAAGACAGACAGAGCCCAGAUUGAGACCCACAACUAGUGAUGUUAAAUUCUCGAGAAUAGUCUUUAAAUGUACACACCUCAUUAAUCGAGAAUAUUCUCGAGAAUAUUCUCGAUUAUUGAAGUGUGUACAUUUAAAGCAGCUGUGUAGAUGACACAGAAUUUACAGUUUGUGGAUGAUAUUCUCCAGAGAAUUUUCUAGCAGAGAAUAUUCUCACCCCACCUCACUACCCACAACUGCCUCUAGGCACAGCAGGAUCCUGGAUGCUGUGGAAGGGGUUUAUCCAGGGGUUUCCCUUACCAUUUCACCCCCUGAGGUGAAACGAGAAUAUGCUGCCCUGUGCAUGCACUGCACCCCUACCCCUUUGCCAAAGCCUCACUUACUGGGGUCAUGCAGCUGUGGCUUCCAGGUUCUGGAAAGAACUUGCAAGAGCCCUCUGAGAUUGUGAGAACCCUGGGAGAUUGUCAAGAUGCAUCUCUACAAUCUCGAGGGGCUCUUGCAUGAUCUCGCUGGAUUCUGGAAGCUGCAGCAGCCACUUCUCCAUGCUUCUCUUCUGGCGAACAACUGUGUAGCAGAGAUUGCCAAGUAAAAGCUAGCACACACCAUGCACUCACAGUAAUUACAUUGGCUACAAGUUGUGCACUCUCUGAGCCCAGAGAGAGUUAUUUGCUUUCAAAGUCCUUGUUGUGCCAAAGUCCACAAGGUACGUGCUAAGUCUAGCUGCUUUCAAAGUCCUGCAACUUUCAGAGUUCUCUGAGUCCAGACAUCUUUUAAGUUGUCCAACUUCUUUCUGGUGAACGCUUCUCUUCACAAAGUUUUCUAAAUAUUUCCAACAAAUUCUCCUACAGGGAAAUGCCGUAACUUGAGCCCUUUACAUACCCAGCUCUAUGUGCUUAUCUGCACAGCAACACAGUAAAGACAAGAGUUACAAGAGUCUGCAGCUGCACCUGCACCGUGUGUGGGGAAUCAUUUCUGCCCACUCAAGUGAAAUUAACAUUUUUUCACUUUCCCCCUCCCUCCCUUCUUGAAAGGAGCCUUUCCCCAACUAAACUGCACCUGGUGCGUGUGUGCAGCUCUUCCUUGAAAGUGCUGAUGGGGUAACAGGCUUUGCUUAGUGUGCUUUUGGGACUUGCUAGUGAUCAUGAAGGUGCUCAUGUCUGCCAACUGCUUCUUUCCCCUGGACCAAAUGCAGAGGUUGUACGCUUUGGGCUUUCUUUGACAUUGCCUGCAUGAUCUCUAAACAUCCAGAAGUGGAACAUUGCUCCAGGAUUGGCCAAGUCAGGAGGUGUGCCUGGGGAUUCUGCUGUGGUCACUGCUGCCACUACUGCUGAGCAUUGACCCUCAAGCCUGAUAAUCAUGUGAUCCUCUAAGCUGAUCUGAGGAUCAUAGGCUGGCUUACAAUAUAAAAACACAAAAAUAUGUACCAUAACAGAGGAGGCACAUGAAGAAGGGCCUCAGAUGAUAAUCAACAGCUUAAUAACUCUACUUAAAAACUUCCAAGGAGCGAGAAUCCACAAUGUUCCCCAGACCUUAAACUUUAUUAUGAAUCAGCAGCUUUUUGCUGGCUGAAAGAAUGGCUGCUUCUUGAAAACACAGACAUUUUGGACUUAGAAGGUUUUAAUAAUGUAUUUGGAUGGCAUGCAUAUUUGUGGUAUGAUAAGGUCAAAGCACAUAAAGCAUUUAAAAAAUCAUAUUGUCAGGAAAGCAUUGUUUAAUGUCUGGAUAAGAUAUAAGGAUCUAUUGGAAAAUAAAACCCCAAGGUGGCUGUCACCAAUGGAAGCGAAAGCACAGAAAAAGCUCAAUAUGGAGGCCAAAUGGCCGAAAUAUUGGGAAAUUCUGGAACAAGAGGGAGAUAGAUUGAAACUGCAGAGUUUUGAGAAACUAAAAAACAAAGUGCGAGAUUGGCUUCAUUAUUAUCAGAUAAUGGAGGCAUAUAAUUCGGACAAGAAAAUUGGCUUCCAGGUGGAAAAAUCAAAAUUAGAAACAGAACUGUUAGAACCCAAAACUAAGAUUUUGUCAAAGAUGUAUAACUUGCUGUUGAAAUGGAAUACUCAGGAUGAAACGGUGAAAUCUGCUAUGAUUAAAUGGGCACAAGAUGUUGGACAUAACAUAAUGAUGGCUGACUGGGAACAGUUAUGGACCACAGGUAUGAAGUUUACGGCAUGUAAUGCCUUAAGAGAGAAUAUUAUGAAAAUGAUAUACAGGUGGUACAUGACACCAGUCAAGCUUGCAAAAAUCUAUCAUUUGCCCGAUAAUAAAUGUUGGAAAUGUAGAGAAACUGAAGGUACAUUCUAUCACCUUUGGUGGACGUGCCCAAGGAUUAAGGCUUUCUGGGAGAUGAUUUAUAAUGAAAUGAAAAAGGUAUUUAAAUAUACCUUCUUGAAGAAACCAGAGGCCUUCCUCCUGGGCAUAGUCGGCCAAUUGGUGCCAAAGAAGGACAGAACUUUCUUUAUGUAUGCCACAACAGCAGCAAGAAUACUUAUUGCAAAAUACUGGAAGACACAAGAUUUACCCACCCUGGAAGAAUGGCAGAUGGACUAUAUGGAAUUGGCGGAAAUGACUGGCAGAAUCCGAGACCAGGGAGAAGAGUCGGUGGAAGAAGAUUGGAAGAAAUUUAAAGACUAUUUACAGAAAUACUGCAAAAUUAAUGAAUGUUAGAAUGAUGUCAGAAUGAAGUUAAGUGGUUUUAGCAGCAAUGUCAUAAAGGUGUAUGUAAAAAUGGAUUGUUAAUAGGUGAGAAUCCAAAGCUAUAAUAUAUUAAGUUAAAGGAUUAAGACAAAAACAAAGAGGGAAAGGAAUUGCUGAAUUAACCAACUGAACUGGAAUACAAAAAAGGGAGGUGAGAGGAGGUCAGGGAAGCAAGGAAAUGAAAUGUAAGGUACGGAAAGAUUGAUUUGUUUUUAAGUGUUUUUUAUUUUAUUUUUUUCUGUAUUUUGUAUUUUGUAUUUUUUUCCUUUUUCCUUUUUUCUCUUGUUUCUUUUCUUUUUAUCUAUGUAAUCUUUUGUUUCUGAAACUUUAAUAAAUAUCAUUUUUUU